UGAUCAUUCUCAACUGCACAGUCUUUUUCACAGAUCCUUCCCUUCCCAUGGAGAUGGUCCAUUUGAGCCCUCUGGGUCUUGCAUUGCUGGAUGGCUGCAGUUUCAGACAUAAAGUGGGAAUUUCCCUCCAAGGAAGCUCUGCUUCUAGGAAACCAUAGCUGCCUCCAGAGUGCUUGGGAUUACAACAGUGAGCACCAAGAUGCCCAGAGCCUAGAGAGAGUAAAGAAGAAGAAGUUGCUAUUGUUUGGAGCAGAGAAAGGGGAGCCACAAAAGGUGACUUGAAAGAAGGAACUAUGUGUGAACAGAAAUAAAGUCAAGGGAGUCUGCUGGCAGCGGGAGUGAAGG